GACGAACGCUGGCGGCGUGCCUAAUACAUGCAAGUUGAGCGAUGAAGCUUGGUGCUUGCACCAAUUUGAAGAGCAGCGAACGGGUGAGUAACGCGUGGGGAAUCUGCCUUUGAGCGGGGGACAACAUUUGGAAACGAAUGCUAAUACCGCAUAACAACUUUAAACAUAAGUUUUAAGUUUGAAAGAUGCAAUUGCAUCACUCAAAGAUGAUCCCGCGUUGUAUUAGCUAGUUGGUGAGGUAAAGGCUCACCAAGGCGAUGAUACAUAGCCGACCUGAGAGGGUGAUCGGCCACAUUGGGACUGAGACACGGCCCAAACUCCUACGGGAGGCAGCAGUAGGGAAUCUUCGGCAAUAGACGAAAGUCUGACCGAGCAACGCCGCGUGAGUGAAAAAGGUUUUCGGAUCGUAAAACUCUGUUGGUAGAGAAGAACGUUGGUGAGAGUGGAAAGCUCAUCAAGUGACGGUAACUACCCAGAAAGGGACGGCUAACUACGUG
rnacentral:rRNA from 1 species